AACGCACGAGACCUGCGGACCUGCGGAGGGAUCAUUAAUGAAUCAAAAAGUCGGUGGAUUGUGCUGGCACUCCUGCAUGUGCACAUUCAUUGGCAAUCAUCCACACACCUUGUGCACACCUAGACCAACAGAGGUUCGUCAAGGCUUCAGUCUUGACUUGAGCAUUUCUGUUGGUAUUUUUUACACCCACUCGUAUGUGAUCAGAAUGUUGACAAGUGCUUUAGCACUGAUAAAAAUGUA
rnacentral:misc_RNA from 1 species